GGAGAUGUAGCUUGGUGGCAGAGCAUGUGCCUAGCAUGUAUGAGCCCAUGGGUUCAAUCCCCAGCACUGCCA
rnacentral:tRNA from 1 species